rnacentral:rRNA from 1 species
UUCCAGACUCCUACGGGAGGCAGCAGUGGGGAAUAUUGCACAAUGGGGGAAACCCUGAUGCAGCGACGCCGCGUGAGUGAAGAAGUAUUUCGGUAUGUAAAGCUCUAUCAGCAGGGAAGAAAAAAGACGGUACCUGACUAAGAAGCCCCGGCUAACUACGUGCCAGCAGCCGCGGUAAUACGUAGGGGGCAAGCGUUAUCCGGAAUUACUGGGUGUAAAGGGUGCGUAGGUGGCAUGGUAAGUCAGAAGUGAAAGCCCGGGGCUUAACCCCGGGACUGCUUUUGAAACUGUCAUGCUGGAGUGCAGGAGAGGUAAGCGGAAUUCCUAGUGUAGCGGUGAAAUGCGUAGAUAUUAGGAGGAACACCAGUGGCGAAGGCGGCUUACUGGACUGUCACUGACACUGAUGCACGAAAGCGUGGGGAGCAAACAGGAUUAGAUACCCGAGUA